rnacentral:lncRNA from 1 species
UCGACGGCGUGGCUGUUUGCAGCGGCGCUCCCCCUCCGGCGACUCGACGCCUCCGCGCGGGGAGACCAAACUGCAGAGUGUCUGUGUAAAACCGUGGAAACGUGUGAAAACGCUCGGGCUUCCCAGAUCGAAAAUGCAAGGGAUUCUGCUGGGACGUGAUGACAAAAACUCUCGCAUUUUUGCCGUUUUGGGGGCUUUCCGCGCCGGGGGAGAGGGUGCCGAUCACCGAGCGUAACCCCCAGUUAGGUGACUCGAGGUUUUCGCGGCAUGUUGGCAAACUCGACUUCGAUUAGAUUGGCGCCUCGAUGCAAAGUGGAAAGACGCAAAACACGCUUUUUGCGUGUGUCUUUCGAGAGAUUGGCCCAGGAGGCAGGGGAAAUGCGAAAAUCAGAGUCGUGCCUUCCGCGAGGCGAGACCGCGCGGAGAGCCGCUGUCACUGAACCGAUCGAAACCGAGGCGGACGGAAAGGCGAGACGAGAAAGGAAGACACGACAUCGAGAGUCGGCGGAAGACGAGAAGAACUGGGCCAUUCCCCCCGGAAAGAACGGCACAAACUGGGCAACGAGACGGUGCGUCCUCGGUGUGAAGCAGGGCGAUCUUGCAAACUGGCAAAAAGUAUUUGAGAGACUUGGUCGUUCGUCUCCCCCUCGGGAAAAAGCUGGUCCUCUUUCCGAGAAAAUCCGGUCAAGUCGAGACUCCCAAGAGCAAAGCAAAGAAACGUGCCCGCCGACCGUCCAGAGACGCGACUGAAGAACAUACUUCUGGAGAAGAAAAGUGUGCAUCCUAAGGCGCAGUCUGAAGCGAUCAAUCUGGUGUGAGGGACUUUGUGUCUCGCAGCUACCCUGUACACGACGCACCUCAGGCAGACGAGAGGCGCGCAGCGAGAAAAAACAAGCUUGGAGGAGACUGCACAAAAUGGGGAGCAUGAUCCAAUCGCGAAGAGUGCUCGACGCUUUACGUUACGACAUGUGUAGGGUAAAAGUUCCCCUCAACAACGACA